rnacentral:tRNA from 1 species
UGUAGCUCAGUGAUAGAGUGCUUACCUAGCAUGUAGAAGGUCCUGGGUUGGAGUCCCAGCA